rnacentral:rRNA from 1 species
GUUGUAAGGUUAAGAAAUUAAGCGUACACGGUGGAUGCCUAGGCAAUCAGAGGCGAAGAAGGACGUGUUAAUCUGCGAAAAGCGACGGUGAGCCGAUAAAAGGCGCUAUAGCCGUUGAUGUCCGAAUGGGGAAACCCGGUGUAGGUGACUACACUAUCAUAUAAUGAAUUCAUAGUUAUAUGAGGCUAACCGGGAGAACUGAAACAUCUAAGUACCCCGAGGAAAAGAAAUCAACCGAGAUUCCCUAAGUAGCGGCGAGCGAAAGGGGAGGAGCCCAAGCGGGUAGCAUGAUGUAUUAGUGGAAGCGUCUGGAAAGUCGCACGAUAGAGGGUGAAAGUCCCGUACAU